rnacentral:rRNA from 1 species
GACGAACGCUGGCGGCGUGCCUAAUACAUGCAAGUAGAACGCUGAAGGAGGAGCUUGCUUCUCCGGAUGAGUUGCGAACGGGUGAGUAACGCGUAGGUAACCUGCCUGGUAGCGGGGGAUAACUAUUGGAAACGAUAGCUAAUACCGCAUAACAGUAGAUAUUGCAUGAUAUCUGCUUGAAAGGUGCAAUUGCAUCACUACCAGAUGGACCUGCGUUGUAUUAGCUAGUUGGUGGGGUAACGGCUCACCAAGGCGACGAUACAUAGCCGACCUGAGAGGGUGGUCAGCCGCACUGGGACUGAGACACGGCCCAGGCUCCUACGGGAGGCGGCAGGAGGGAAUCGUCGGCAAUGGACGGAAGUCUGACCGAGCAACGCCGAGGGAGUGAAGAAGGUUGUCGGAUCGUAAAGCUCUGUUGUAAGAGAAGAACGAGUGUGAGAGUGGAAAGUUCACACUGUGACGGUAGCUUAACAGAAAGGGACGGCUAACUACGUG